ACAUCGACCGAUGCCUGCUGGAGCUGAGGGCCAGGGUGAGGGACGUGACACCGUCACAACAGCGGCUAUCAUCGGUUAGGUGUGGCUUGUCGAGGCUGCCCAGUGUGUUUCGUCGCAGCUGCAGGUCGCGAGAUCAGUUCGGGCAGGCGCCGCACAUUGACGAGUGAUCCAAUAUUUUGAUCGGACCAUAACAACUAACGUGUCUCAUUCUCUGGCAUCUAGAAGUAGUGGUAAAAUUCUGAAUUUGCAUGGCAAGCACCACUUACGUAGGUAGCUGCCACGCACAGUUUAUACUCUUAUGCCUAUAAAGGAUAGGAAUUAUUCAUGAGUUAUGGCUACAAUGAGGAACUAUGUAUAGUUUAUACUCUUACGCCUAUA
rnacentral:lncRNA from 1 species